UUUUCUUUAUUUUCUUAGUCUCUUUCUGUCUCAGUCAAUCCAUUGCAAAUCUUAGCCGGAUUCCUUACAAAUCCUUGUGAGGACUUAUUGUAAAGUGAGUUGUGUUUAACAAAUUCUUCUUUCUGUAUUGAACUCGAUCACUGUGAUCCUCACCGAGGAUGCAACUUACAUUGCUCACACGUUCAUUGGUUCAACCGACGUGAACUUCCUUGGUAACACCGAUAUGAUCAACUUGUGACUUUUUGAUUCUCGGACUCACUGAUUGAUCCUACUUGGAGACACCCAUUUCACAACGCCAAGAUCAAUUUGCCAAAAUUCCUUCAGAUUCUUACCGACUCCACUCAGCAU
rnacentral:lncRNA from 1 species